rnacentral:rRNA from 1 species
GACGGGGCCCGCACAAGCAGUGGAGUAUGUGGUUUAAUUCGAAGCAACGCGAAGAACCUUUACCAGGGCUUGACAUCCCUUGAAGCAGCUAGGGAUAGCUGUGUCCUUCGGGACAAGGAGACAGGUGGUGCAUGGUUGUCGUCAGCUCGUGUCGUGAGAUGUUGGGUUAAGUCCCGCAACGAGCGCAACCCUCGCCUCUAGUUGCCAGCAUUCGGUUGGGCACUCUAGAGGGACUGCCGGCGACAAGUCGGAGGAAGGUGGGAUGACGUCAAAUCAUCAUGCCCCUUAUGACCUGGGCUACACACGUGCUACAAUGGGCGGUACAAAGGGCUGCGAACCCGCGAGGGGGAGCGAAUCCCAAAAAGCCGCUCUCAGUUCGGAUUGCAGGCUGCAACUCGCCUGCAUGAAGCCGGAAUCGCUAGUAAUCGCGGAUCAGCAUGCCGCGGUGAAUACGUUCCCGGGCCUU